CAAAUACUCCCUCCGUCCGGAAAUACUUGUCAUCAAAAUGGAUAAAAGGAAAUGUAUCUAGACAUAUUUUAGUUUUAGAUACAUCUCUUUUUAUCCAUUUUGAUGACAAGUAUUUUCGGACGGAGGGAGUAGAAA
rfam:Triticum aestivum genome assembly, contig: Triticum_aestivum_CS42_TGACv1_scaffold_149268_2BS